AGUGGAGUCUUGGUGAUUCAUAGUAACCGAACGGAUCGCAAUUGGCUUCGGCCCGCGAUAGAUCUUUCAAGUUUCUGACCUAUCAGCUUUCGACGGUAGGGUAUUGGCCUACCGUGGCAGUGACGGGUAACGGGGAAUUAGGGUUCGAUUCCGGAGAGGGAGCCUGAGAAACGGCUACCACAUCUAAGGAGGGCAGCAGGCGCGCAAAUUACCCAAUGAAAACAGUUUCGAGGUAGUGACGAGAAAUAACAAUACAGAGCAUCUAAUGUUUUGUAAUUGGAAUGAUGGGAAUCCAAAACCCUUUCAGAGUAACAAUUGGAGGGCAAGUCUGGUGCCAGCAGCCGCGGUAAUUCCAGCUCCAAUAGCGUAUAUUAGAGUUGUUGCAGUUAAAAAGCUCGUAGUUGGAUUUCUGUCUUCGUUCUCCGGUACCGCCCUCGCGGGUGUGCACUUGGUUGUACGUUGGCAUUCUUCCGGUUGUCCUUCCGCUCUUAAUUGCGCGGUUGGGUGUUCCGGAACUUUUACUUUGAGAAAAAUAGAGUGUUUCAAGCAGGCUUGUCGCCUUGAAUACUGCAGCAUGGAAUAAUAAGAUAGGACUUUGGUUCUAUUUUGUUGGUUUCUAGGACUAAAGUAAUGAUUAAUAGGGACAGUUGGGGGCAUUCGUAUUUAACUGUCAGAGGUGAAAUUCUUAGAUUUGUUAAAGACGAACUACUGCGAAAGCAUUUGCCAAGGAUGUUUUCAUUAAUCAAGAACGACAGUAGGGGGUUUGAAGACGAUUAGAUACCGUCGUAAUCUCUACCAUAAACUAUGCCGACUAGAGAUAGGGAAAUGCCU
rnacentral:rRNA from 1 species